AUACAUUAAAUUGUUGAAUAAUUUUUGUUUAUAUUUCAUUUCAAAUGAAGUAUAUAAUUUUGAUAGAAUUGCAAUAUUUUUUUCUAUUAAAAAAUGAGUAACAACUUCAUUCAUAAGAGAUGGAUAAACAUCAUAACAAUAAUUAAAUAGGAAUUUAUGAUAAAUUUGAUCUCUUCGUAAAUAUAUCUUAAACAAAACCCUAAAUCAAACACAUAAAAAUAAAGAUUUUUUUAAAAGAAAAAUAAAUAUAUAGAUAUAUAAAGAAAAAAGGACAAAUAUCAAUCGGGAAAAACCAAACAAGAGCCUAC
rnacentral:lncRNA from 1 species